UACGUAGGGUGCGAGCGUUUGUCCGGAAUUAUUGGGCGUAAAGAGCUUGUAGGCGGUUUGUCGCGUCUGCUGUGAAAUCUCAAGGCUCAACCUUGAGCUUGCAGUGGGUACGGGCAGACUAGAGUGUGGUAGGGGAGACUGGAAUUCCUGGUGUAGCGGUGAAAUGCGCAGAUAUCAGGAGGAACACCGAUGGCGAAGGC
rnacentral:rRNA from 1 species